GUGUUCUCCUGCGGGUCUUUGACAUCAGAGUGCUAAUUGGUUUGGAGGUUCGGGAAGUGGUCGAUUUUCCACGACACUAGCCUUGCUGCUAGUAGCACUGCAGGAGCAGUGAG